AAUCAAGCCCCUUCCUCGGGGCCGAGAGAAUUUUGAGCAUUAGCCAUCUCUUGGUCGCCGGCCAGUCAGUAAAGGACUCUUAAUUUGGAACUCAGUGCGUGGCACAUUCCUUCUAACUCGCUUGGUUAUUACAAUGCCAUGUGACUUGAUUUGCCAGUGGGAUGGUAGUAGAUGUAAUUCAAGUAGGGGCUCAGAAUGCGCUUUCAGGGUGAGUAUGACCUCUGAGCUUGUGCCUCUGCCAUUGUCAUGAGAAGAACACGUCUAGCUGGACCGCUGGUUCCAAGGAGAAUGACAGACUCUCAGAAUAGAUCUGCUGUUCCAACCAGCCGACAGGACAGCACCAGAACAAAAGGGGCAGGAUGACUGCAACGUGAAUGGUGGAACAUCCUGUUGCUGAAGAGCAGAUGCCAUGCUGAAGCAAGCAGUUUUAUAGCCUGCAGCUGCACCCUAAGUGGGAGUGAGGCAGAGAGCCUCCAGCCUUAUUAGAAUCCAGGAGGCAAUAAGGAACUGUCUCCUGACAGCCUUUUAGGAAGAUAGGGAGGCAAGUGAAAGAUGGCCUUGUAGUAAGUAGCUCUUUCCACACUGUAUAUUAUCAUUAGUCUCCUCCUCACAAAAGUGCUUGAAUGUACUGCUCCAGAGCAUCUCCAGAUUCCAAAAUUGCAAGCAAAUUUUCAAGUGCCAAGAUGAAAUCAACCGCAGUAGCAAAAAUAUGCUAGCUUCAUUUAUUAUUACCCAGAUUAUCAAAGAUCUUUUUUAAGGUGUAGCCACUGAUGCGAGUAAUCAUGAUACAGAAAAAAAACACCACUUUGUGCAAAAUUGUUUUGCCACUUUCAAAAAGCUUACUUAUAAGGCUACUGUGAACAAAAGCCUUUCCAGAUGAGAAAUCAAAAAUAACAUCAAAUUUUUGCAGAGACUCUCUGGUUGAGUUAGAACUUAAUGAGAAAAAUUUUACUGCUUUUGGGGAAAGCAAUACAAAUACGAAUUUUACUGAAUUUGCUCAUGCACCUUUAUAGAUAUGGACAAUACUUAUUAAAUGUUGAAGCAAAGCAUGAAUAAUUCUAUGGAAAGUGUUGGCUGUCCUGUUCAUAUUCUGCGUGAGCUGCUCACACAGCAUCUGAUGUUCUUUCUACUGACACUGAAGUAAUUGUCAUGAAAUUCUUGUACUUUGGCAUUUAUAUCGUUUGUGCAAUUAAAGGAUUUUUGUAUUUGG